UACGUAGGGGGCAAGCGUUGUCCGGAAUCAUUGGGCGUAAAGAGCGUGUAGGCGGCUCGAUAAGUCUGAGGUGAAAGUCCAGGGCUCAACCCUGGAAGGCCGGUGGAAACUGUCGGGCUAGAGUCCGGAAGAGGCGAGUGGAAUUCCCGGUGUAGCGGUGAAAUGCGCAGAUAUCGGGAGGAACACCAAUGGCGAAGGCAGCUCGCUGGGACGGUACUGACGCUGAGGCACGAAAGCGUGGGGAGCAAACAGG
rnacentral:rRNA from 1 species